UUUUUUUUUUUUUACUUUAUGAAGAAAACCUUUGGCCAUGAAAGAUCUUUUUAGCCAUUUCCACCUAUUUUAAAGAGAGAAAGGCUUUUCACUCAUCCCUUACCCCUCCAAUCCUUUCCAUGCCACCUUUACAAAGAGGUACUUUCUAGAUUCUUUGUCUUUACAAUUUCCUUUUCCUUCAGUCAUACCAUACACCCCGGGUCCCAAUCCUACACCCAGGCUCACAAUGAACUUUCUGUUCGUGGGUGCAUGUGUCUCUGUCUCUCACUUGAGUGAUGCCAGCUCAGCAUGGCACUGCAGCAGAGCCAUAGAUCAUCCUGUCCAAUGUCAAUCCUUCUCCCUGAAGUUUGCCCGACUGCUGUUGAUGGAAGGAUUGAACGACUUCUCUUUGGACAUUAUUUGCUCUGUGGUUCAAACGGAGGCUUCUGCUGGUGAGCCUGGAUGAGUAAAGACUGGUCCUCAGAGAGGUGAGUAUUUUCUCAGCAACAAGGUCAGCAAAAAGGAAGGAAAUCCAAAAUUCUUGUAGAUGUAAAUAGAUGUUUAAAAACUGACUGUGACUUUUCUCUGAGCAACGUUGAAACCUUUGCAAGUACACAGAACUACAAAUAUUUCCUGUUCUACAACCCCAGCAAAAUGCUAAUACUCAGAUUUUUCUCCAGCAAGCACUACACCAAUCUGCAGCCUGACACUGCAGCCUGAUCAGAGGAAGGCAGCAGUGCCUGUAACGUCCAUGACAGUCACACUACACUGUGCCCUGAAGUCCCACAGAGACCCCAUCCCUUCCCAGCUGCCCCACUGUUACCCCACACUAACCACCACUUUCCAGCUAAAGGUUAAUUACUCCAGGGGACGUUUCCAUCCAAGCUGUUGCCCGCAGGUUGCAAUCCCUGCCUGAGUGCUAUUUUUAGCCCAGCUCCUUCGUUGCUAUUGAUCCCAGUCACCCUCUGUUAAUUAGAUAGACACAACACACACAGCAUUUGCAACUCAUUUAUCAAUUCCGUUCAGCACCUCCCUCCCCUGAGAUGUAAUUUGGAGCCCUCCUUGAAUCACGAUAUUGAUCCUUCCCAGCAACUUUGCUAUAGGAUUCUCUGUGUUGCAAACUAUUUAUAGAUUCUUCUUCUUCUCCUGCUUUCCCUCGGGGAAUCAGAAAUGGGCAACGGUAAUCAGACUUCUAUUUUUAAGGAGGUGAUCGAAACCAGAUAUUUCCUCUUUUCUCCUUCUUUUCCCCUCCUUUCCCCUGUUGCUGUUACGUACAGGCUUCCCUUGGCAGGCUUCCCUUCCUGCUCCAUGCGGUGCCGUAAUGAUUCUGGUAAUGUUCAGGUGAUGUGAUGCAGAAUUUGCCAUGGGUGAAAUCUUGUUUGCUGAAUUAACUAAAUUAACUCCUCUUCCUCCCUGUGUCCAAGAGUUUCACAAAGGGCUUUGUGACCUGUUUUGUCUCCUCAGCCUGAGGCACACCUUUCAGAGGGCUUCAGUCUCGGAGACUGCCUUCUCAGCCCACGGAUUCGGUCCAUUUGCAAUGCACUGCAAAUCUCGUCGUAUCUCAGGAAGGACAUCCAAAGGCCUUGGACAAUGUGUAGUCAGGAGUGAGAUAGAUGGAGUUGCUUUUAAGGAUGGAGGAUGACAGUAGCAAGCCCCGGGGUUCUAGGAUUUGAGAAAGACCUAAAUGAAGGAACAUCACCUGAGGCUCAAAGAUGUUGAGUAAGGUUGAAAAUCCCACCUCUAACACAGGAGGAGGCCUACAGCUACCAUGGGCAAGGUGACACCAGAAAGAAUAGCCUUGUCUUGGGAUAUACAUGAAAACAGCCCCAGGCUUCUGUGGUAAUAACCGUGGCUGGAAAUCCAGUGGUGAAGUGGGAGAGAGGAGAGCCAGGAGGAGCCGGGCAGGAUGCAAGGGAUGGCCUGAAGCCUGGGGUGCACCAUGGGCAGGGAGCAGCCAUGGGGACUGCAGCCAGGUUGUGGCUCAAGAGACAUGGGGCUGGUGCCUCUGCGCCACUGCGAAUGUGGCACUGUGUGUGGGAACAUGGCUCUCUGUGUGCCUGUGCUGCGGGAGGUUAUGCUGUGGUUGGGGCAGGGGCUGUGUGGUUGUGUGGCAUAGGGGUGGUAUGUGGUGGGUUUGGUGGUAUGUGCUUUGUGGUGGGCUUUCAUGAGUGUGGUGCUGUGGUGUGUUUGGCC
rnacentral:lncRNA from 1 species